GGGGAUAUAGCUCAGUUGGUAGAGUGUGCUUACCUUGCAUGUAUGUACAGGUCCCUGGGUUCCAUCCCCAGCACCCCCC
rnacentral:tRNA from 1 species